UACGUAGGGUGCGAGCGUUGUCCGGAAUUACUGGGCGUAAAGAGCUCGUAGGUGGUUUGUCGCGUUGUCCGUGAAAACUCACAACUCAAUUGUGGGCGUGCGGGCGAUACGGGCAGACUGGAGUACUGCAGGGGAGACUGGAAUUCCUGGUGUAGCGGUGGAAUGCGCAGAUAUCAGGAAGAACACCCGUGGCGAAGGCGGCUCCUCUGGAACGCAACUGACGCUGAGACGCGAAAGCGUGGGGAGCAAACAGG
rnacentral:rRNA from 1 species